UACGUAGGGUGCAAGCGUUAAUCGGAAUUACUGGGCGUAAAGCGUGCGCAGGCGGUUUUGUAAGUCAGAUGUGAAAUCCCCGGGCUUAACCUGGGAACUGCGUUUGAAACUACAAGGCUAGAGUGUGACAGAGGGGGGUGGAAUUCCACGUGUAGCAGUGAAAUGCGUAGAGAUGUGGAGGAACACCGAUGGCGAAGGCAGCCCCCUGGGUUAACACUGACGCUCAGGUACGAAAGCGUGGGGAGCAAACAGG
rnacentral:rRNA from 1 species